CAGUAGCCGCGGUAAUACGGAGGGUGCAAGCGUUAAUCGGAAUUACUGGGCGUAAAGCGUGCGUAGGCGGUUCGUUAAGUCUGUCGUGAAAGCCCCGGGCUCAACCUGGGAAUGGCAAUGGAUACUGGCGAGCUAGAGUGUGUCAGAGGAUGGUGGAAUUCCCGGUGUAGCGGUGAAAUGCGUAGAGAUCGGGAGGAACAUCAGUGGCGAAGGCGGCCAUCUGGGACAACACUGACGCUGAGGCACGAAAGCGUGGGGAGCAAACAGGAUUAGAUACCCGGGUAGUCCCUGUCUCUUAUAC
rnacentral:rRNA from 1 species